rnacentral:lncRNA from 1 species
UCUCACCGGGUGCUAGAGACUAGCCAUAGUGCUUCUCAUAGUUAGGAAUCACCCCACUAAGUAAAGAUCAUAAUUCUCCUUUACAUACUCACCCUCACUUUAGAUCUAUAAGAUCUCCUUCUCCUUAUUAUCCAAAGAAAGAUUUACCAAAUAAUUUUCCAUACAGUCCAAAAUCAAUCAAAAAAGACUAACAGCUUCCCAAUCACCACCGCCUCAUAAACAAAUCAAAAAAGAAGACAAAAAAACAAUAAAAAAACAAAAACCCUAAAAUCAAAAUGUGCUAGAGCAGUAGACUCUUUAAGAACUAUUAUAAACAAAUAUCUUAUUAGUGUUAUUUCAUCUAAAUUGUUUUAAAUUUUAAAUUAUAGUAAAACCUCUAUUUUUCUCAACUCGAAUGGUUUUAAAC